rnacentral:rRNA from 1 species
GGGUUGAAAACUCCGGUGGUUAUAGAUGGACAUGCGUUGUAUUAGCUAGUUGGUGAGGUAACGGCUCACCAAGGCAACGAUACAUAGGGGGACUGAGAGGUUAACCCCCCACACUGGUACUGAGACACGGAUCAGACUCCUACGGGAGGCAGCAGUGAGGAAUAUUGGUCAAUGGACGCAAGUCUGAACCAGCCAUGCCGCGUGCAGGAAGACGGCUCUAUGAGUUGUAAACUGCUUUUGUACGAGGGUAAACUCACCUACGUGUAGGUGACUGAAAGUAUCGUACGAAUAAGGAUCGGCUAACUCCGUGCCAGCAGCCGCGGUAAUACGGAGGAUUCAAGCGUUAUCCGGAUUUAUUGGGUUUAAAGGGUGCGUAGGCGGUUUGAUAAGUUAGAGGUGAAAUCCCGGGGCUUAACUCCGGAACUGCCUCUAAUACUGUUAGACUAGAGAGUAGUUGCGGUAGGCGGAAUGUAUGGUGUAGCGGUGAAAUGCUUAGAGAUCAUACAGAACACCGAUUGCGAAGGCAGCUUACCAAACUAUAUCUGACGUUGAGGCACGAAAGCGUGGGGAGCAAACAGGAUUAGAUACCCUGGUAGUCCACGCAGUA